rnacentral:rRNA from 1 species
AACAUGUAUCCACUCGGUGAGAAUACCCGCUGAACUUAAACAUAUCAAUAAGCGGAGGAAGAGAAAACAAAGUGAUACCCCUAGUUGGCGACGAACGGGUAAACCCAACGCAGGCUUAUUGAUUCUUUCUAGAUUGAUAAGCGAUGCGGCUUGUGGAGUUGUGUUGCUUGAGUUAAAGCGUAUACUGGGUUCUAUUCAACGAACGAUCUAAUAGUUGACCAUAGAGGGUUAAAGUCCCGUAUGAAUAUUAUAAGUUCCAGUAUAUGCUAGUACGAAGGCACUAACUUGAGAGUAGGGUUGCUUGAGAGUGCAGCUUGAAGUAGGAGGUUGCAUCUCCUAAGGCUAAAUAUCACUGCGAGACCGAUAGCAACAGUACGUGAGCGAAAUUUGAAAGAACUUUGAAGAGAGAGUUUCAAAGAGCGUGAAACCAUAGUAGGGAAGUCGGAUAUUAUCCCGAAGUGGUCGUUGCAUUUGUGUAGUGUAUAAGUGUUUGCCACUUCUUUUAGUUAGGCUAGUUUGGUUUACUAAAUGAAACUUUCUAGAAGUCUAGUAGUCAGCUUGAUGCUACAAAGCACAAAUGUUGCCAGUAUCAUGUCUUCUUCUAAAACUGCAUAGUGCUAUUGAUCGCUUAAACUCCUCAUUUGGGGGUUUUGGUAAGAUUGAUGGUUUAGGUUAUUUAUGACCCUUAUUUGUAGGCAGAUCCGAGGAUCUUACUACAAAUAAGGGGAAAACCUCUAUGUUAAAGUAAAAGGAGAAAAGGCAGGAUAUGAGUAGAUCGAUAAAUCUCUGCCCGUUCUUGAAACACCGACCAAGAGCCUAACGUGUAUGGCAGUCCUUUAGUAUUUUCAUAACUAAGUGGCGUAACGAAAGCAAUAGAUACUAUUCUAUACAAGUUUAGUAUGGUUACGAUGUUAUAUUCUUUGUGAGUAUGAUAGCAGUAACAAUGCGAUUCGUACGAGUCGUAUUAAGCAUAUACGGUAGUACCCUAACAGAUGGUGAUCUAUGCUUGAGCAAGGUGAAGCCAAGGAAACUGGUUGUGGAGCCUUCAUCAGUUUUUUGACGUUGCAAUCGAUUGUCAGACUGAGUAUAGCGGCGAAAGACUAAUCGAACCAUCUAGUAGCUGGUUUCCUCCGAAAUUUUCCCGCAGGAUAGCAAGCGUAUACUCGAAAAACUAAUCAUUUAAAACCUGUUUACAGUCUCAAUAGAAGGUAAUGGGGCGUUAAUUGACCUCGUCCUUUUCUUAAACUCGGUCAAUGGGUUUUCGAUGUUUACACACUAAUCGUAUGUAAACUAAUCAAACGUACUGAUUUACGCUUAUGGGCCAUUUUUGGUAAGCAGAACUGGCGAUGCGGGAUGAACCGUACACAGAGUUAAGGUGCCUAAGUUUGAUACGCUAAUCAGAUCCCACUAAAGAUGUUGUUCGCUUAAGACAGUAGGGCGGUGGCCAUGGAAGUCGGCAUCCGCUAAGGAGUGUGUAACAACUCACCUACCGAAGCGUUCAACUCUGAAAAUGGAUGGCGCUCAAGCGUUACACUGAUACUCUGUCGUAGUAGUAAAUCCGUAAGAAUUAUUCUUUCCUCCAAAGAAAGAAUAAUAUUAGACUUCUACGAGUAGGAGAGAAUGUGGUGAUAGCGUUGAAGCUUUGAGUGUAAACUCGAGUGGAGCUUUCACUAGUACAGAUCUUGGUGGUAGUAGCAAACCACAAUUGACAACCUUGUUGACCGACGUGGAUACGGGUUCCAUGGGAACAGUAAUUGGCCAUGGGUUAGUCGAUCCUGAAGAGUGACGUGAAAACGUUUUCGUAAGAAGCAAUCCUCGUCGAUUGCACUCUGAAAGGGAAUAAGAUUAAUUUUCUUAACCUUGUUCGUGCUUAAUUUAGAAGCGGUAACGCAAUCGAACUCAGAGACAUCAGUCAAAGUCCUGGGUAGAGAUAUCUUCUCUACUUAAGGUGUGCUAAGUGCCUUGAAUCAGUUUAGCUGGAGACAGGCAUGGAUGCACCGAAUAGCAUUGCGCUUCUCGUAAUGUACAAAUUCAUAGAACAGUGUACUUUGAUUGUUCCUUGAAAUCUGGGGGAGUAUUUUUAAGGCACGGCAAGAUCGUACCUAGAUCCGCAACAGGUAUCCUAGGUGAACAGCCUCUGGUAUAUUAGAAGAAUGUAGGUAAGGGAAGUCGGCAAACUUGAUCUGUAUCUUUGGUACAAAGGUUGGCUCUGGCGUGUUUGUCAGUUGUGCUUUAGUUAGUACAUUGGAGCAAGUUUAACUUGAACUGUAGAUUGAGCAAUCGCGCGUCUGCGCUUGUUUUAGGCAGCUCUAAUAGAACACUUUUGUGUGGCUGGCAAUUAAAACAAUUAGUCAGAACUAUCAUUGACUGUUCGGAAUCUGACUGUUUAAUUAAAACAUAGCAUUGAGAUGACCGGUGACCCGGUGUUGACUCAAUGUGACUUCUGCCAGUGCUCUGAAUGUCAACGUGUAGAAUUCAAUGAAGCGCGGGUAAACGGCGGGAGUAACUAUGACUCUCUUAAGGUAGCCAAAUGCCUCGUCAUCUAAUUAGUGACGUGCAUGAAUGGAUUAACGAGAUUCCAUCUGUCCACUUACUAUCUAGCGAAACCACAGCCAAGGGAACGGGCUUGGCGAGAUCAGCGGGGAAGGAAUGACCCUUUUUGACUUGACUCCUCGUCUGGCUUGUGAGACAUGUUAUCUGGUAUAGCAUAGGAGGGAGGCAUAGCUUGCAUGUCGUUAUCAACUGUAAAACCUCCACAGUACGCACCACUCACUGACUAGUUAUGAGGCUUACUUUAGACCGUCUUUGUUGAUGGGCUAAAGGAAACUUAAUAACUGUAAAUUAAGUCGGUAAUGUUAGCUACUUUCACGAGUAUGACCGCUAAAUUCCCGUCAAGGCAAUUAUCUAAGGACAGUGCCAGGCGGGGAGUUUGACUGGGCGGUACAUCUAUCAAAUGCUAACGUAGGUGUCCUAAUGUUAGCUCAGUGAGACCAGAAAUCUCACGUAGAAUAUAAGGGUACAAGCUGGCUUGAUUCUGAAUAUCAGUAUGAUGCGAGCCACGAAUUGUGGCCUAACGAUCCUUUUGAAAAGCGAAAUACUAUCAAUGCAUAAUACAGAGGUGUCAGAAAAGUUACCACAGGGAUAACUGGCUUGUGGCGGCCAAGCGUUCAUAGCGACGCCGCUUUUUGAUCCUUCGAUGUCGGCUCUUCCUAUCAUUGUGAAGCAAAAUUCGCAAAGUGUAGAAUUGUUCACUCACUAACAGGGAACGUGAGCUGGGUUUUAGACCGUCGUGAGACAGGUUAGUUUUACCCUACUGAUUAAUGCGUCUUCGCGACAGAUUCUUGCUUAGUACAGAGGAACGGCGAGUACAGAGCAAUGGUUGAGCACUUGAUCGAUCGGUCAAGGUGCGAAGCUAACUCUGUAGGCUAAUGACUGAAAGCCUCUAAGUCG